UAAAGCCGUAGUCUAGUAAAAACCUUGGACUUAAAUAACAAGCAACUCCCUGUUCAUUGAAAACAUCGGAUUUGUCUUCGUAACUAGUGUCCAACACGUUUCUCACGAACUAAAAUCCUGUCCCUUGUCUCCUUUCUUUUUCUUCAGAACCAAAUACUCCAACAUCCACUUAUUACUGUAAUAUUCGAUCAAAUACUUACUUUCUACUGUUUUACUACAUCGUCAUUAAUCCAACAAAUGCUUUGAUCCUAGUGAAACCGCAAGAUUCCUGUUUUCUGAGAUCCGUCAAUCAUGGCAAUAAAAGGAAAUCCAGGAGAUAACAGAAGCAGAGGCCCUGUGUCAAUAUUUGUUGUAGUUGGUAUUUGUUGUUUUUUCUAUCUUAUUGGAGUAUGGCAAAGAAGUGGUUUCGGGAAGGGAGAUAGCAUAGCUCAGCAGAUAACAAAGAAGGCAGAGGACUGCAGCAUCCUCUCCAAUCUAGAAUAUGAAACUCAUCAUGGUGAUCAAAGCGGUAUGGUUGAUGAUCCCAAGCUGGAAGUCAAGCAUUUUGAACCUUGUGAUGAGCAAUAUGUUGAUUAUACACCGUGUCAUGAUCAAAUGCGAGCAAUGACAUUUCCUAGAGAAAAUAUGAACUAUAGGGAGAGACAUUGUCCUCCAGAGGAAGAGAAGCUGCGUUGUCUUAUUCCAGCCCCAAAAGGUUAUAUAACUCCUUUUCCAUGGCCAAAGAGUCGUGACUAUGUACCUUUUGCAAAUGCGCCACAUAAAAGUUUAACAGUUGAGAAGGCAGUGCAAAACUGGGUCCAAUAUGAAGGUGAUUUACUUAGAUUUCCAGGUGGCGGAACUCAGUUCCCACGUGGGGCAGAUGCGUAUAUUGACCAGCUUGCUUCUGUGAUCCCAAUGGACAAUGGUACAGUUCGAACUGCAUUGGAUACCGGAUGUGGGGUUGCUAGUUGGGGUGCAUACCUUUUCAAGAAGAACGUUAUAGCCAUGUCAUUCGCACCAAGAGACUCACAUGAAGCUCAAGUCCAAUUUGCUUUGGAAAGAGGCGUACCAGCAGUUAUUGGUGUACUUGGAACCAUAAAAUUGCCAUUUCCAUCAAGGGCGUUUGAUAUGGCUCAUUGUUCACGUUGUUUGAUUCAAUGGGCUGCAAAUGGUGGACUGCAUAUGAUGGAAGUGGAUCGAGUUCUAAGACCAGGAGGGUAUUGGAUACUUUCAGGUCCUCCCAUCAACUGGCGGACUAAUAAUCAAGCUUGGCAACGACCUAAAGAGGAGCUGGAGGAGGAACAAAGAAUGAUUGAAGAUAUAGCUGAACUUCUCUGCUGGGAAAAGAAGUAUGAGAAAGGUGAGAUAGCUAUAUGGAGAAAACGAGUAAACUAUGAGUACUGCAGUGAACGAGAUUCUCGUGUAAAUCUAUGUGACCACUCGAAUUCAGAAAAUGUCUGGUAUAAGAAGAUGGAGGCAUGUGUAACUCUGUAUCCUGAAAUAACCAAUUCGGACGAAGUUGCUGGUGGAGAGCUCAUGCCAUUUCCGGAGAGACUUAAUGCUAUUUCUCCAAGAAUAGCAAGUGGAUCUCUUCCUGGAGUCUCUGUUGAAUCAUUCCAGGAGGACAACAAGUUGUGGAAGAAGCAUGUGAAAGCUUAUAAGAGAGUUAACAAGCUCCUUGCCACUAGGAGGUAUCACAAUAUACUAGAUAUGAAUGCUGGCCUUGGAAGUUUUGCUGCAGCACUAGAAUCAUCUAAGCUAUGGGUCAUGAAUGUUAUGCCAACUAUAGCUGAAAGGGACACUCUUGGUGUAAUAUAUGAUCGAGGCCUGAUUGGCAUAUACCAUGACUGGUGUGAAGCGUUCUCUACCUACCCUCGGGCAUUUGACCUUAUUCAUGCAAAUGGGAUCUUCAGCUUAUAUAAGGACAAAUGUGAUGCUGAAGGCAUUCUACUAGAGAUGGACAGGAUUCUUAGACCAGAAGGCACAGUUAUAUUCCGAGAUCAUGCAGAUAUUCUUGGCCAAGUAAAAAGAAUUGCAGCUGGUAUGAGGUGGAAAACAAAAAUGGUGGAUCAUGAGGAUGGUCCUCUUAUCCCGGAAAAAGUAUUGUUUGCUGUCAAAAGAUACUGGGUUGUUGGAGAUAACAACUCAACCGUCUUACGGUGAAUGGACAAGGCAGCUUAUUUCGCAGACAGUUAGCAAUCUGGUUCUUGGCCAGAGUUAGUAUUACUCUUUUCCUGCGGGAGGUCAGAGUUGACAACAACAAGCAGCGAUCUCUGCUAUUUGUCAUGUGAAACAGUUUAUUACAGAACUAGACGUGGGCCAAAACACAGCGUCUAGGAAAACACAGAAAUCAGCUGAUUACAAAAUGGAGGUUUAUCUGAAGAUGGAUUUAGUAAAUGUAAUCUCACCCUGGCAGGGUUACUGUCAUUGUUGAAACAGUUGAAAGCCAAAUGAUUUUCUGAAUAAGAUGUUACUGAAUUCUGGUAGCUUUUCAAGUCUGAGUAUUUUACUAACUGAAAGAAGUGGAACUCAAGAAAUAGCUCUAAAUAUGCAACCAUCUCUCCAUUUUAUGUUGCUGUACUUGCCAAGUACUACUUGGUAAUCCAACUAGUUAUGUACCCGACCAGAUUUCCACAAAUCAGUCUGUAAAAUUGAAAAGCAUCAAAAUUCAUUAUGGUGUGGAUCGUGUUA